CUACAUUCUGUCUCCAGAAGGGGAGAAAAACAGCAAGGGACUGACUGAGAGGAGGAUCAGCCAGACCCUGCGUGACUAGGAAGGCUUUUACUUUGCCCAAGCCUGUGUCUCCAAGGCAAAAAGGGACUAAGUCAGCUGAGGAGAAGCAGGUACUUUGCCACAAUACUAUAUGCUGAAAAAGAUUCCCUCGCACACUACCUGAUCCUAAGGGAGUCCUGCCAGAAACCUGCUAAGGAAUGGUAUAAGCCUAUGGACUCAGACGUAUACACAAACACCCUAACUGGACACAUAGCUAUCCAGGUGAUGCGGAUUCACCCUGCCAGAUACCUGAAAACCUUGUAUUCUUUCUUAGCACUCCCAAUCCUACAGGGAAGGCAUAUUUGCGCCCCACGAUUGGCAGGAAUGUAUUUAAAUAAUAAAGAAGAAAUCAGUGAUCGCCCUGUGGGUGUAAAAAAAUGGACUACUUGACAGUGGGUAUGCCCCACCUUGCCAAUUUUAGAGGAGCAUUGCUCCAUGCAAAUAAAAAAUUUAGCAACAUGCUACUGGGAUGAAUUGGUUAAUAGCACCACCAAAGUAUACUAUGAUGGGAAAAAUUAUGUUUGUAUGAUUGGACUGGAAAAAAUUGUGUGGCAGGAAAAGUAUACUCAAAGGCCACCUGUACAACAAUGUAUGUGCAAUGUGACAAUAUUGCGAACUCCCACCAUGACUUACUAUUUUCCGGUUCAUAAAAAUAAGGAUGUUAACCUAGUAGAUACCAAUAAUGCCCUGAGUUUUAAUUUUUCUUUGGGGGCUAAUUGGACCACCUCAUAGCAAUGGCUUGCAAGGAAUAAGCAGAUUAGUCAAUUAACUUCAGCAACCCGGACAAAAGUACUAACAUGAAGUCUGGCUAUUUUGCACCAACUAACUGAAAUUCUGAAAGUAUCCACCCAAGCUCAACAAAUGAUGGUGCACCAUUGGUAUGGCCUUUUUAGAGGCUGGUCCCUCUCAUGGACAUCAGUUUUAAAUAUUAUGAUUCAUCUCAUAAUUGUUUUCUUUGUACAAAUGGAACAAUGUUUGUCUUUAUGUGCUGUUGGAUGAAAAGAAUGUACCUCAAAUUAAAACCACAAGCCCAAAUUGCUUCGCAAUACGUUGCCUUAAAGCAAUUACACGAGAUGUGACCCAUUUCAUAUAUUGAUAUUAAAGGGUCAAAAGGGGGACAAUGUAGGCCAAAAGCCUAAAGGGGAAAAACUGUCUUAUGUAAAUUGUACUCCAUUUUGCUUAUUUUGCUUUGUACUCCAUUUUGCUAGCUUUGAAUUAGUAAGAAGAAAUUGUUCUGAGUUUAUUCUUUGCUGAUUAUGUCAAUGAUUGUUCUUAGAAGAAUAGAAGUUUUAUGGCUAUAAUUCUUGCCUUUGAAAUCAUUUACUGUUUUGUGUGUGAGUGAAGAAUGUAUGGCAUACUGAUUAACAGAGAAGAGACGGGAGGCACCAGUACUGAUGGGCUGGAUGGUUGAGAGGGGAGUGAAGGAGUUGAGAGGCACCAACUUUAUUAUCAGAAUCACCCUGAUGGCAGAUUGACGACCCUAAAGCAAAGGCAUAUACUCCAAGGACAAGCUAAGGAGCUCAGCCAGAAGGACGAGAUAAACAGCUGCGGAUCCUCCCGGUAACAACUCAAAAUAAUGCUGAUUAAGAGCAACCUUGACUACCUUGUGAUUAACAGCUCCAGUGUGCCACAGCAAGAUCCAUAGACUUGUAUGGGAACUUAUUACUAUAAAAGAAGGGUGUAUUGCCAUGGGACUUUGGGUUUGUUCUGCAUCAACAUCAGAGCUUCGGACGCGUUCGACAGAGAUCCAGCUUCCCUCCUUCAUGUGCAGUUUCAGCUGGCCUCUGGAACUGACCGAGCAAAACAAAGGACUGGUAACUAUAAGAUCCAGCUGCAGAACCUUUUGUGUGUAUGUGUAAGCAUAUGCUGAUUUUGAUAUUUAAACUGUACUCUCAGUAAACACGGUGUAUUGCCUUAUCCCCUUGAAAAA